rnacentral:rRNA from 1 species
AGAGUUUGAUCCUGGCUCAGAACGAACGCUGGCGGCACGCCUAACACAUGCAAGUCGAACGAUAAGGUUCCUUCGGGAACUGGACAGUGGCGGACGGGUGAGUAACGCGUGGGAACCUGCCUAUCAGUACGGAACAACAGUUAGAAAUGACUGCUAAUACCGUAUACGCCCCUUGGGGGAAAGAUUCAUCGCUGAUAGAUGGGCCCGCGUUAGAUUAGCUAGAUGGUGAGGUAAUGGCUCACCAUGGCGACGAUCUAUAGCUGGUUUGAGAGGAUGAUCAGCCACACUGGGACUGAGACACGGCCCAGACCCCUACGGGAGGCAGCAGUGGGGAAUAUUGGACAAUGGGGGCAACCCUGAUCCAGCGAUGCCGCGUGUGUGAUGAAGGCCUUAGGGUUGUAAAACACUUUCAGAUGGGAUGAUAAUGACAGUACCAUCAGAAGAAGCUCCGCUAACU